UCUAGCGAGUAAACAUUAGGGGGUCUGGCCAGCUUUCUUUUGUUUACUCUCCCCAUGAGUUGGGAGACACAUUUGUUGCAUGUAUCGCCGGGUAGUAAAUUUGCGGAUCACUGACAGUUACAAAUUGUUAUUUGCAAUGCUCAGUUGCUCACCCUUACCUAAUGAGUUUUGAGAAGUUCAGGGGGAAGUAUGUAGCUGAGAUAUAAUAUACUGAGUGUGAACAUUCUCAAAACUGUAUUGUAUAUAGUUUAUUUUUUUAUUGUGUAAAUGUAAUUUUUGUAAAACUGAGGUUCCACAUGUCACUGUUGAAGUGGGGCGUUAAUCAGUGUGACACCACUUGUAAACAUGCUGCAUGUGUGGGGGUUCCCAGCCAGAGCUGCAUGGACUCCACACUGGUAAGGCAGACUUUCUGUAGCUCCUCUCCCUGUAUUACAUUAUACGCUUAAAUUUGGUGUAUUUUUCCUUAAUAAGUAUUAGUUCUUUUGGCUAAAAGCUCCCAAAGUGUUUUUGAUUACUUUGAACGAGGAAAAUAGUAAUUGGAACUGCCUUUUAUCUGUUACACCAUCCGUUUAUGUGUUCCUUACUUGUGCUAAACAGGGAUGAGCAGAGGUGUGCUGUUGCUGUGUGACACUGAUUUUGCUGCUCCACUUUGUGUUUUAGAGCUGCAUGGACUCCACACUGGGAUGAGCAGAGGUGUGCUGUUGCUGUGUGACACUGAUUUUGCUGCUCCACUUUGUGUUUUAGAAAUAAAUCCAGUUUCCAGCCAGUCUGUGUCUGUCGUCACAACGCAGUCAACCGUUUGAAAUCUGCUACAGAUCCAGGGGUCCGUUCUUCGUACCUCGCUAACAUGUCUUUAUCCUGUCUUCCUUCUCUCACCCCAACCGGUCGCAGCAGCUGGCCGUCCCUCCCUGAGCCUGGUUCUGCCGGAAGUUUCUUCCUGUUAAAAGGGAGUUUUUCCUUCCCACUGUCGCCAAAGUGCUUGCUCAUAGGGGG
ensembl:lncRNA